AUUGAACGCUGGCGGCAUGCUUUACACAUGCAAGUCGAACGGUAACAGGCCGCAAGGUGCUGACGAGUGGCGAACGGGGGCGUAAUGCAUCGGAACGUGCCCAGUCGUGGGGGAUAACUACUCGCAAGAGUAGCUAAUACCGCAUACGGUCUAUGAAUGAAAGCGGGGGACCGUAAGAGCUCGCGCGAUUGGAGCGGCCGAUGUCAGAUUAGGUAGUUGGUGGGGUAAAGGCUCACCAAGCCAACGAUCUGUAGCUGGUCUGAGAGGACGAGCAGCCACACUGGGACUGAGACACGGCCCAGACUCCUACGGGAGGCAGCAGUGGGGAAUUUUGGACAAUGGGCGCAAGCCUGAUCCAGCAAUGCCGCGUGCAGGAAGAAGGCCUUCGGGUUGUAAACUGCUUUUGUACGGAACGAAACGGCUCUGGUUAAUACCCGGGGCUAAUGACGGUACCGUAAGAAUAAGCACCGGCUAACUACGUG
rnacentral:rRNA from 1 species